rnacentral:rRNA from 1 species
UUGCGCAAUGGGCGAAAGCCUGACGCAGCCAUGCCGCGUGAAUGAUGAAGGUCUUAGGAUUGUAAAAUUCUUUCAGCAGGGACGAUAAUGGCGGUACCUGCAGAAGAAGCCCCGGCUAACUUCGUGCCAGCAGCCGCGGUAAUACGAAGGGGGCUAGCGUUGCUCGGAAUUACUGGGCGUAAAGGGCGCGUAGGCGGGUCGUUAAGUUAGAGGUGAAAGCCCAGGGCUCAACCCUGGAAUUGCCUUUAAAACUGGCGGCCUUGAGUAUGGCAGAGGUGUGUGGAACUCCGAGUGUAGAGGUGAAAUUCGUAGAUAUUCGGAAGAACACCAGUGGCAAAGGCGACACACUGGGCCAUUACUGACGCUGAGGCGCGAAAGCGUGGGGAGCAAA